AUGGCGUCUUGGAGCAAGAUUCAUCAAGCAUUUUUGGGACUUAUUUGGCCCGAUUUUGACAAUUGUAUGCAGGGCUGGUUUGGUCUAACUGUCAACUUGGUUUUGAAACUUGAAAGAAAACAUGGAAUUUGGUUGAGGCAUUCGAUGGCAAGGCAUGAUGAAAGUUACUCGGAGAUAAUGAAAAAAGCUUAG